rnacentral:rRNA from 1 species
UGAGCAAUCUGCCCUUCUCAUCGGAAUAAGCGUUGGAAACGACGUCUAAUGCCGAAUACGACCUCCUUUCGCAUGAUCGGAGGUGGAAAGCUCCGGCGGAGAAGGAUGAGCUCGCGGCCUAUCAGCUUGUUGGUGUGGUAAUAGCUCACCAAGGCGAUGACGGGUAGCCGGCCUGAGAAGGUGACCGGCCACACUGGGACUGAGACACGGCCCAGACCUCUACGGGAGG